UCGACUGUAUAAUUUUUCCAUAUUCUUUACCAUGUUAUUUACAGAAGACGUUUCACACUUCCUUCCAAUUCUUGGCAUCUUAGAAUCUCGAAAUUUCUCAAAAAUUCCAGGUCAUUAUCGGAUUAUUAUCACAGAAACAGUUGAAUUUAUCUUAAGUUUACUAAGUUUUUUUCCAAUAUGGUGUGUACUAUCAUAUAAAUGAUGAAUGCUUUUUAACACACUGUAUAAUGUAUAGCGUUUACAAAGGGGAAGAUCUGUUCAAAAGAAGUUAUUUGAAUAUACGUUAAUAACAGAGGAAUGUACGGGAUCUUGAAUAGUGUUUAGCGUUUCGACAGACGGAUGCGAUAAAGGUCUUUGUUUGUCAGAAGCUAGCAAACUACUGUGCAUUGUAUUGUGUAAAUGUAUAUUGUGUCAUGCAUUAUGCUCAUGUAUACGUGCCGUGUAGUGUGUGUGCUACAUUGCGCACAAAUACAUACACCGUAGUAUGUAUCUUACGGUCGCAUAUGUUUAUAAACACGAGUGUGUGUGUGUGUAUGUCUAUGUGUAUAUUCUAAGCUCGUGUUACUCGUGGGCUUUGUGCGCCGUCUGUACAGGGAAGGAGAAAAUUACAGCAUAUGUAAAAUUAAUGAGAAAAUAAUAAAAUAUUACCGUGACAGUAAUAAUCGUUAUGUAAAAACGCAGCAAAGAAAAAUGAAGUUGUGAAACGACAGUUUGUCGAGGGGAUUACAACAUCUAAAAGGAAAAAAAAAAUGUGCCCCUGUUUAGCUACUUUCGAAUAAUCUUCGACGUUGGAAAAGCUCUGCAAACUGUUUUAAAAAGUUUUCCUUUGCAAAUGGGAGUCGAAAGAUUGACAUUAUAAUUACUUUCUCUCUUCUUUUUUCCCCCCACUCUCUCUAUUUAAUGUUUUCCUUUUCAAGGAUUAUUUCAGAACGGAUUAAUUCUAUUUAUAACUCAAAAUAAAUAAUAGAUUAAGUGAGAUAGAAGCGUUAUAUAGGCCUAAAUAUAUAUAUAAAGAAAAUGGUGACAGAAAAUUGAAUUUUAAAAUAUAAAAACUUGUAGAAAACUGGAUGGAAUUUUACAAUUUUUUUUUGACUUUUUGAUAAGCGAAAAAUGCGGUUUCCACUGGAAAUUCUUGUGAAAAUAUUUACCAUAACAAGCGUGUGUUCGUCCUUAUUACGUUCACAUACAUCCUCUUUAACACAUUACAUUUUUUUUUUUUAUAAUAUUUACGGAGCCGGAUAUUGGAAGUAUGUAAGAAACGAAAAUUUUCGCAAGCAUCCGAGUAUCUUAGGCGUGUUUUUAUUAUAUUUACAUUUAAACGUAGUUGUUAGGUGUAAUUAGCGACGACGAUAACAAUGGUUUCUGCGACGUUUUAUGCGUGUUUUUAAUUCAGAAUCGGAGGGGGGGGCGAGCCGUAAAGAUAUCGAAUCGGUCGACGGAGCAUCGCAAUGCGUGCAGCGUCCUUCGCGAGCCCCAUUAUUCCAUUAAAGCACCUGUUGUGCCUGCAUACUUUUCCUGUGUGACAUCGAUGACCAAACAGAGGAGCGCGAGAGACAGAGAGGGAGAAGCGGCCGUCCCGCAAAAAAUCCAUCCAGGAUUAGUUCCCGUUGGUAUUUAGUGCGUGGAAUGUAAUCUGCCGUUAGUCAGUGUGUGACGUCGUUUCCGAGAUCGACCCCCCCUCUUCUUGUUUCGUCGUUCUAACCAACCUAGUUGUGAUUUAGUUGUGUGUUUUCGGCGGAUGCCAGUGUUGCCAGCCGCGCAGCACCCGGGGAUGGACUACGUUCUAGCGAGUGCGUCGGUUUGAUGACGACUACGACGGGAUGGAUUUAACCGGCUUCUGCCGUCACGUGAUCGCGUCCAGAUGACCGUCGUUACAUAACAAAAGCGCCUGCACUUGGUAACUUCCUGUGUUUAAAGCCUGCCACUCCCCCAUCACCGCCAGGAGGAAUUUAGUCGCCGACAAUGACAACCGAAUUAAUUCGUUUAUGCGGUGUCGGAUAUUCGCUCUCCUGUUAAGUGUCUAGUUACACAGAUGCCACUGGAUGUAGUUGCACCCCGAUCGAUACGCAAUUAAAAAAGUAAAUAAUAAAAAGUGUAUAUAAUAUAUAUAUAUAUAUAUACAUACAAUCCCAACCUCCGCACGAAGUACACAAUGUCGAAGUAUUAACAAGUGAUUUCUGAUGGGUCUGAGCCAAUGUAGCAGUCGACAAGGCUCAGCCUGUAUGAAAUUAACUGCACGGUGUAGGUUAAGAUGAGUGUAGUCUCUAAUGUAGUCAAGAAGCGGAGGAAGUCAGAAAGUAAACCACAGUCUCAACU